UACGUAGGUGGCAAGCGUUGUCCGGAAUUAUUGGGCGUAAAGCGCGCGCAGGCGGUCCCUUAAGCCUGAUGUGAAAGCCCACGGCUCAACCGUGGAGGGUCAUUGGAAACUGGGGGACUUGAGUGCAGAAGAGGAAAGUGGAAUUCCAUGUGUAGCGGUGAAAUGCGUAGAGAUGUGGAGGAACACCAGUGGCGAAGGCGACUUUCUGGUCUGUAACUGACGCUGAGGCGCGAAAGCGUGGGGAGCGAACAGG
rnacentral:rRNA from 1 species